AGGCCAGACUCCUACGGGAGGCAGCAGUGGGGAAUAUUGCACAAUGGGGGAAACCCUGAUGCAGCGACGCCGCGUGAGUGAAGAAGUAUUUCGGUAUGUAAAGCUCUAUCAGCAGGGAAGAAAAUGACGGUACCUGACCAAGAAGCCCCGGCUAACUACGUGCCAGCAGCCGCGGUAAUACGUAGGGGGCAAGCGUUAUCCGGAUUUACUGGGUGUAAAGGGGGCGCAGACGGCAAUGCAAGCCAGGAGUGAAAGCCCGGGGCCCAACCCCGGGACUGCUCUUGGAACUGCAUGGCUGGAGUACAGGAGGGGCAGGCGGAAUUCCUAGUGUAGCGGUGAAAUGCGUAGAUAUUAGGAGGAACACCGGUGGCGAAGGCGGCCUGCUGGACUGUGACUGACGUUGAGGCCCGAAGGCGUGGGGAGCAAACAGGAUUAGAUACCCCAGUAC
rnacentral:rRNA from 1 species